UCCUGCUCAUUUCACCGCAUCUGCUGGAAGUGCCGCCGCCUCCCACCCCGCCGCCGCGCUCUCCUGGUCCCCCACCUGCUGCGGCGCCAGCGCCGCCGUCCCGAAUGUCGACCCCGCCGCGUUCCAGGGGGUGGCUGUUCGCGCUCCGGUCGGGCGACGGCGGCGCGGGGAAGUGGAAGCGCCAUGGCGCGUGGCGGGGCAGGCACUUCCCCUCGGAGGACCUCACCGUGCUUCUAUCAGGGACAGCAAAAUGUGCCUAGGGCUGGCGACGCUGUCGAAUUCCCUGGCAUUCCUCUCUCUGAUACAGAGACUGCCAAGGAGUUGAAGGAGGAUCGACUGGUCGGAGGAAUUGCCCCAUUAGCGUGGUGCCACCAGUCCUGGAUGGAGUCAGAACCGCUUGGAACCAGCAUCUGUGAGUUGCGAAUCGAACUAAAUUGCUCGAGAGAAGAAGCACUGCAUGAGGACGCGGGGAAUUGUCUCAGACAUCUGGCAGCAAAGUGGGCAGUGCGGCUUGUGUUGAAGACUGCGGUCCAGCACAUGUUGUGCAGCGCCAGCCAAGUAAAGAACUUGGCCUAUAGAUGAGCAAAAGAUAACCAAAGGUGCCGCCUGUCGCACCCACAAACUCCGAUUGUCCCAUGAAGAGGAGAACCAGUUGACCCUCAGCUUGGCUUGGUUGGACUGAAUUUUGUCCUCAAAAGUAUGGCCUCUUACAUUGGAAGGGAAUUUGGAUUGAAGCUACAAAUGUAUGCACCCACCACGUUGUCAUCUACCAUGCUCCAUUUUCGUCAGGCCUCUACCCAAUACAUUCCAAGUAAGCUUCAGAUCAGGCAAUGGAAUACUGGAACAUGUUGCUUGCUUCUCUUCAAAUCUCUCUCCUCCACUCUCCAUCUCCCGUAUCCUCCUCCCCUCCUCAGGCCUCUAGCCAAAACUUUCUAAGUAAGCUUCAUAUUAGGCAAUGGAAUACUGGGACUUGUUUCUCUUUUUCGGCACUUGCUGACUUUCUUUUCUUUUGCUUCUCAUACCCUUCGUGGGUGCUCUCUGUAACUGGCCUUCCCUUCUAAUCAAUGAGUUUGGCAGAGCAACUGCCAACAUUCGAAAAAAUAAAUACUCGGGCUUGCUGCUUGUUUCUCUUCAUCUCUCUUUCCCUCAUCCCUCCCUCUCUCUCACUCCCCCCACGCGUCUUUCUCUCUCUCUCUCCCUCCCUCUCCCUCUCGCUCUCUCUCCCUCUCUCUCCCUCCCCCUCCCUCCCUCUCCCUCUCCCUCUCUCUCCCUCCUCUCCUUCCUUGCCCUUCCAGUCAAGUCCACAAUCUCCUUUUGAUGCUAUCUUGAUUGAUUCCAGCAGUACGGUUCAGUGUUACGUAGUUGCUCUUGUGAAGUGCUUGUGUGUCGCCAGGAUUCAUGUAACUGGAAAACUAGAAGUCUAGAACACUUCAGCUUUACUUGGGAAGUUCCUCUCCCACGAUCAUCUUCUGUUCUGACAUGGGGAAGUUGUCGGCGAGUGCUGGAGGGGUGCUUGGCCCGGCGCCUGCGGCAGCUUCCGAUUGGGACUUCAGCGUGCAUCAUUUGACAAAUCUGGACGUUCUUAUCAUCUGCUGCUCGAUCGUCCUGGUUCCUAUAGCUCUUCUGCUCCUUUGGCGAGCCCGGCGGUGUUGAACGGCAUGGUGGACCAUGCGGGCUUUAGGGACGGCGAGAUACCCGCCCAGAGGAGACGGCGAGGAGGCUCCGGUCGACUUCAACAGCAGGUGCCCUAUUUGUAUUGUUGAUUUCGUGCAGGAUGACGAGCUAGUCGUUCUCCGUUGCCAGCAUCUGUACCACGCCCCCUGCUUACGCAAGCAGCUCCAGGAGGGCUACAAGCUGUGCGGCCUGUGCAGGGGGAGUGUGGCGUAGGCCUGUGCCGCUGUGCACCUGUAGCUAUAUCUGAUCGUUUGAUUUGUGCCGUAUGUUUGAGAUUUCAUGCCUUGUUUGGAGUUGGUUAUAUUCUGUGUAGAUGCUUUGAGACGGCAAAGCACUUUAUAUUAUGUUUGCUUUA